UGGCGGCGUGCUUAACACAUGCAAGUCGAACGAAGCAUAAGGAACGGAUUAUUUCGGUAAGAAGUACUUUAUGACUGAGUGGCGGACGGGUGAGUAACGCGUGGAUAACCUGCCUCAUACAGGGGGAUAACAGUUAGAAAUGACUGCUAAUACCGCAUAAGCGCACAGUGCUGCAUGGCACAGUGUGAAAAGCUCCGGCGGUAUGAGAUGGAUCCGCGUUUGAUUAGCUAGUUGGUGGGGUAAAGGCCUACCAAGGCGACGAUCAAUAGCCGACCUGAGAGGGUGACCGGCCACAUUGGGACUGAGACACGGCCCAAACUCCUACGGGAGGCAGCAGUGGGGAAUAUUGCACAAUGGGGGAAACCCUGAUGCAGCGACGCCGCGUGAAGGAAGAAGUAUUUCGGUAUGUAAACUUCUAUCAGCAGGGAAGAAAAUGACGGUACCUGACUAAGAAGCCCCGGCUAAUUACGUGCCAGCAGCCGCGGUAAUACGUAAGGGGCAAGCGUUAUCCGGAUUUACUGGGUGUAAAGGGAGCGUAGACGGCAGUGCAAGUCUGAUGUGAAAGCCCGGGGCUCAACCCCGGGACUGCAUUGGAAACUGUGCAGCUAGAGUGUCGGAGAGGUAAGUGGAAUUCCUAGUGUAGCGGUGAAAUGCGUAGAUAUUAGGAGGAACACCAGUGGCGAAGGCGGCUUACUGGACGAUAACUGACGUUGAGGCUCGAAAGCGUGGGGAGCAAACAGAAUUAGAUACCCUGGUAGUCCACGCCGUAAACGAUCAUAAAAGGGGUCGGGCGCCAAAGGCGUUCGGUGGCGCAGCAAACGCAAUAAGUAUUCCACUGGGGGAGUACGUUCGCAGAAAUGAAACUCAAAGGAAUUGACGGGGACCCGCACAAGCGGUGGAGCAUGUGGUUUAAUUCGAAGCAACGCGAAGAACCUUACCAAGUCUUGACAUCUGCCUGACCGGUCCGUAACAGGACCCUUCCUUCGGGACAGGCAAGACAAGUGGUGCAUGGUUGUCGUCAGCUCGUGUCGUGAGAUGUUGGGUUAAGUCCCGCAACGAGCGCAACCCUUAUCCUUAGUAGCCAGCAGGUAGAGCUGGGCACUCUAGGGAGACUGCCAGGGACAACCUGGAGGAAGGUGGGGAUGACGUCAAAUCAUCAUGCCCCUUAUGAUUUGGGCUACACACGUGCUACAAUGGCGUAAACAAAGGGAGGCGAAGGGGUGACCUGGAGCAAAUCCCAAAAAUAACGUCUCAGUUCGGAUUGUAGUCUGCAACUCGACUACAUGAAGCUGGAAUCGCUAGUAAUCGCGAAUCAGAAUGUCGCGGUGAAUACGUUCCCGGGUCUUGCACA
rnacentral:rRNA from 1 species